CGCGGAGCCUGCGGGUCUCGGCUGAGUGCGAACCGCACUCUUCCUUCGCUCAGUGCCUGGCAGGCUCGGCAAGCUGCGGGUCCGCGCCUUCCCAAGGCACAUACCUGCCCAGCUGGACUACAUUUCCCAGCCUCCCUUGCAGUUGUGUAAACCCUUGUGACUAAGUUCUUACCAGUGGAAUGCAAGCAGAAGUGAUGGGAGUAAUUGUCGUCUCGUACUUGCACCUUCCUGUUCCUGCUUGCUGGCUGAGAAUGAUACUAAUGGAAGCCACAUGUGGAGGAUGACAAAGCUCCCCCAAUGACCUGGGUUCACAAGAUGACUCCCUGGAGCAAAGUCUGUAUUUUCAUCCUGGACUAUUACAAGGAGAGAAAUAAACAUGUAUUUUGUUUGAAA